AGUCACGCAGUAAGCACAACAGAGCGAACUAUUCUUUUGCCUUUUACUAAAGUAUAAGUGUGCUCGCUGCAUUAAGUGGCACACGUUUAUUUUUGGAGGGAGUUCCUUAAAGGAGCUU
rnacentral:snRNA from 1 species